rnacentral:rRNA from 1 species
AGCGAACGCUGGCGGCAGGCCUAACACAUGCAAGUCGAGCGGGCGUAGCAAUACGUCAGCGGCAGACGGGUGAGUAACGCGUGGGAACAUACCUUUUGGUUCGGAACAACACAGGGAAACUUGUGCUAAUACCGGAUAAGCCCUUACGGGAAAGAUUUAUCGCCGAAAGAUUGGCCCGCGUCUGAUUAGCUAGUUGGUGAGGUAACGGCUCACCAAGGCGACGAUCAGUAGCGGUCUGAGAGGAUGAUCAGCCACAUUGGGACUGAGACACGGCCCAGACUCCUACGGGAGGCAGCAGGUGGGGAAUCUUGUGC